rnacentral:rRNA from 1 species
UACGGGGGGGGCAAGCGUUGUUCGGAAUUACUGGGCGUAAAGGGCUCGUAGGCGGCCAACUAAGUCAGACGUGAAAUCCCUCGGCUUAACCGGGGAACUGCGUCUGAUACUGGAUGGCUUGAGUUUGGGAGAGGGAUGCGGAAUUCCAGGUGUAGCGGUGAAAUGCGUAGAUAUCAGGAAGAAUAUCCGUGGCGAAGGCGGCUCUCUGGUACGGCACUGACGCUGAGACGCGAAAGCGUGGGGAGCGAACAGG